AUCCAACUGACGAGUCCUAAAUUGGAUGAAACGCAAGUUUCGGAU
rnacentral:hammerhead_ribozyme from 1 species